GACUCCCCAUCCUUGGUGGCCUGCCCACCCUUCUCGGCAGACACGGGAACACCCCACUGGCCCAUGCCCGGCACUGGACAGCAUCCUGAGAGGCCUGCCAGCCCCGUGCCCCAGGACCAUGCCCUGCGACCAGGCUGGCCAUCCCCCCGGUGGAGACCUCGCUGUCCCACCCGCCCCUCCCCUUGGCCACAUGCCCCUCGGCCCAGGCAGCCCCUGGAGGCAAGGGAGCCAAACCCUUUAUAUCUCACCCACCAGGCACCCCAAGAAUUAGCCACAACCCCAUGGCACCCAGAAGCUUCCACCUGUCUACCCUGGAGAGGUUCCAGGGACGACCCUGCCCUGAGCUCUGACUCUCUGGCCACAUGGACCGGCGGCCAUGGAGGCCCCGGGUUGGCCAGCCCGGCCUGGGUGUCAUCGGAACUUUCCUGGGGCAGAUGCAGGAAACCAGCCCAGACUCACUUCUCCUCGUGGCCGUGCCAGCGCUCAGAGAGACAGGUAUACCGUCUUCCCCGCUGGGCGGACAGACAGGGGACCAGCUCAGAGGAGCGGCUGCAGCCCGGCCUGUUCUCCCCACACUUGACAGGGCCGGGCAGGGCACGGGGAGCGACCCUCAGAGAUGAACUCCGGCUCUGCUCACAGUGGCCCCAGGACAGCCCCCGCCCUAGUGCCCCCGUUCGUCCUCCCCAGGGCAGGCCCAGCCACGUCACGUGGUGCCCUCCCUCCCCACUUCCCGUCCUGGGGAGGGGUCCCACCAGCAGAAAGGGGCCAAUAGAUUCUGUCCUUGGCUCUGCCUCUGGACCCCUAGAGCUGAUCCCAGCGGAGCCCAGGGGACUCUACAGCACAGCGCCCUCCAGGCCCACCCGUCAGAGCUGGUGUCAGAACGCCCCUCUUUUGAAGGCGGAGUCAUCGCCCCUUGUGUGCAUGGACCAUGUGUCCCUCGUCUGUGCUCAUCAGUGGACCCUGGGCUGCUGUCCCUGCUGGCUGCUGGGGAGGUGGGGGCGCCAGGCUCCUUGUCCUCAGUGUGUCUCAGGGAACCACAGUCAUUAUUCUGGAAGACACUGAAGCUGUCCCGAAUUGGACCAUGACCCACCCUGCCUCUGCGGGGUUGAUUAUAUGGUUUGUCUCCUUCGACUUGCUCCUGUGGUAACUGUGAUCCGUGGGCUGCCACAUCUUCCCACCUUCCCCGACCCCUCGAGGCAUCGCCCCUGCUUGCUCAAGCAGGCUCUGCUCUGUCAGGGGCUGGAGGAGAGGACCGCAGGGGCUGCUGGGGUUUCCAGGGACCCGGCGGUCCUCAGAAAAGGGCAGGAGUUCCCCAGUCCCCAGCCCAGAAGGGGUUUUCAGGGGCAGUUCCUAAGAGAGCUUCCCUGAGAGGGAAGAGGCUGGGGGAGGAACGGGGCUUUUGAGAGGGGCCACCCCAAGAGCUCAGUGAUUCUGAAAGUCUCUUUCUCAGGCUAUGUUCCUCUGACCGGGGCAGACUGGGAACCGUGAGUCCUAGUUCAGCCCUGGACAGGCUGGCCCAUCGCCCCAGAUCACCACGGUCCACACAUGGGGUUGUCUGUCUCGGGGCUGGCCUGGAGGCUUCCACAGCUGUGGGAACCUGGCGCCUUAUCUCGCGGCCGAAGAUGGCUGCUUGACCUGCAGCCUGCUCAUGGGUACCGCAGGUGUUGGGAAGGAAGGCAGUGGAUGGUGGCAGAGACCCUCCCCUUCGAGGAGACAUCCCAGAAUUCCCACCCAGGCUCCUGGUCCUGCGUCCUCGGGAAUGCAGGGCUGGGACCGUGCCUGGCUGCAGGGGAGGCUGGGGAAGGUGAUCUUUGCUGUGCCCGUGCGUGCUGGGUGCUCUUCCUAAGCGGGAAGCGGCAUGUCGUGCCUUGGGCACACGGGGUCACCAGCUCCACUUUGACCUGGAAGGGCAGGUCCCGGGCAGGUGGGUGGAUGAAAGUGCCCCAAGAUGAGGAAAGGGUCCCGAGAAGCUGGGGAGAGGGGGUCUGGGGGCGACCCCCGAAGGGUUGAUGGAGGAGAGGAGGCCCCGCGGAAGCCACAGGAAAGCCCCUGCCAUCGGGCUCUGGAAGUGGGGUCGCUGGGGAGAACCACGAGACCCGUGGCCCACCGGCACUAGCGGGAGUUGAUAUCCCUGCGCCCGCAGACAGGGCUCCGCCCUUCCAGCGGGAACAGCGGUGCUGAGGAGCUUGAUGUCACCCCAGAACUCGUAGGAGAGCAGCUCGUAAGCAGAGUCGAGGGACGCUUUGGGUCAUGUUUUGGGGGUGCACAUUCACCAGUAUGUGCUGGGGGCACCCGAGGAUCCCAGAGCCCUGCAGAGGGGGUCACAGCCACGCGGGCCCUGUCUGUCCAUCCCUUUGGUCUGUGAGCCCCAUGGGUGGCGGGGUCCACACCAUUUACUUUGGAGCUCCUCUGAGCAGACACCCCACCAGUGGAAACCGCUCUCAGAAGAUCAUGCGUGGGCCCAGUGUCCUGCCAUUCAGAGCCCCGGCUGGGUGGGCGGAGGAGGACGGCCAAGCUCGGGUUAUGGGGCGUGUGGGGCACAGCGAGGGGCUCCUCGCACACAGGAACGCCAGCAGCAGGGUGUCACAGAGCAGGUGGGGAACAGAACAAUAAGGCUACAGAAGAAAGCAGGGGUCUUCACGCCGUGGGUGCUGUUGGGGGGCCGCGGGCCCUCGAGGCAGGGAGGCCCCUACCUGGCAGGACAGACAGCGGACCAACAGACCUGCACGCUGUGUGUGAAGCCACGGACCGAGGAAGAUCAUAGGAGACUGUGCCGGAGGACGUCUCAGCUGCCCGGGACACAGAGGGACCUAAGAAAUCCCCCAAACCACCACAUAGACCCCCUCUGUUGUCCAGGCACCCAGUCAGGGGACUCAGCUCAGAGCGCCGCGUGGCCAGGCGGCCGGCAAGGCUCACAGAACACGGUGCCCCGGCAUGGCCUUCUUUCCAGCUCCUUCCCCCAGAUCCCCCAUCCUCAAGGUCAGAGCAGAUGGGAAAUGAAAACCAGGCCCUUCCUGCUGGAUUCCUGCUGCCUCGGGGAGACCCCCGGCCACCCCCACCCCUUGCGGCACAGCCAGGCCAGGGCCUUGCCCGGUGGUCCCCAGCCAGGGUGAGGCCUCACUCAAGGCGGCAUCUGGCCUUUCUGGAGACAUUCUGGGGUUUCACAACUGGGGGGUGCCCACCGAUAACACUGCACAUCCCAUGCCGCACAGGGCGGCCCCUGCCCCAUGAUUCAUCCUGCUGGGGGGGAGCUCUGCUGGCAGGCGGGUGCCGGGGGAGGGUUUGGGAUCGCUCUGCGCUACCCCCUCCAUGAAGAGGCUGCCGCUGCAACUAGGAGCCCCCCCCACCCCGGGCCUCACGCCCCCCCGCCUGGGGAAACCCCGGCGCUGUGGACGUCAGGACUCCAGUAGCAGCCAAAGGCAGGGCGGCUCGCCCUCGGGGCCUGGACGAGACCCGGGCAGCGGGGUCUUCAGCAGUGGGCCCCUGUGCCUUCCUGCUGCCGGUACCCUCUGCAAUUCAGAAAAAAGCAGAAGUGAACUGGGGAGGGGAAUGCCAGGAUGGGGCUCCCCUCCCUCCCCCUCCCCUCCCCCCACCCCUCUGCAGGCUGACCUCUCCUAGACAGCACACCACAGAAAAACACUGCUGCUAUCUGAGCCCGCCACUCACAGGAAGCAAUUUGGUUUCCUCUGCAGGGUAUCAGGCCUCCAGCCAACUUCAGUGCUCAACAGUCUGGGUAACGCCCAGGGUGGGGGUCCCAGGCCACCGGGCUGGGGGUGCUUACAGAGCACCUGCUGUAUGCACCACCCUGGGCAGGCUCUGGAGGGCAGGGGACCUCCCCCCGGGCCUCUGCGACCCGCAGACCCACACGUCAGCAGGCACCAGAGAGAGGUCAUGGGGGCCAUCCUGGGCGUGUGGCCCUGGGAGUACGGCCACAAUCCUGGAGGGUGACCAGAAGCACUGCAGGGGCACGUGGGGUCUGGAAGGGCGUCAGGGCAGAGGGACAGAGAGAAGGAGGCUGGGAGGGCUGAGUGCCCCUGGGGCGCGCGGGGCGGGAGACACGGUCAGGACUGGGCAGCUUGUCUCCCAGGGCUGGCCAGUAGUACCUUUCGGUGGGGGGCUGUGAGGUCAGGUCACAUGCUACUCUGCCCCGUCAGGGCGAGGAAAGAGCCAGAGGGCAGCAGGGAGGCUGGGGCAGUGGCCGGGCCUGAGACCCCAGGGCCAGGAGACAGACAGGAGGCAGGGGCAUGGGACCCACUGGACAUGGGCAGGAGAGGCAGGAGCUGGGCACCGCCCAGUGGACAGCUACGCCGGGGGUCACAGAGGGCUACCCAGAGGGGACUCUGGGGCUUGAGGGCCUCGGAGGCCAAGCAAGGCUGACUCUGCCCGUCACCUGCCCACAGUGAGAUGGGAGCAGGUCAGAGGGCAAGCGGGUGCCACCAACCCACUGAAGAGUUACACUCAGGGCUGGGGUGAGGCCAGGCGGAGGUUAGCAGGUGGAGGGAAGGGGCGCGUGUGGGUGAGGCCAUGUGUCACGUGCACCGCCAUCUGAUGGGCUCCCGGCCGCUCCUCCCCUCCGAGAAUCCAGGUCAGAGGCGGGAGCGGCCUCGACUUCCUGCCCUUCACCUGCACACCACACACUCGGCCUGCCAUCGCCACCUGGGGCUGAGGCUUCCUUCCGGGGUGGAGGGGGAGCCACCCACUUGGAUGGGGCCCCCGUCACGCCCUCCUCCCUCUCCCUGCCAUCACCCACCUGGAGAUGAAAGCUGGCUCAUCUUUGCACACGCACACACAUGCAUGGCUGCAUACACGUGCACACGCUAGUACACACAACGUGCACACAGAUGCAGACCCGCACCCGCAGGAACCCUGCAGGGGCUCCAGGGGAACAGGAACGUGGGCAGUGCUCAGGACUCCUGGGCCCACCUUCUUGCUGUGUGACCCCAGCAGGCUGCAUGGCUUCUCUGGGCUGGGCUCUUCUGGGGUUGUGCUCCACUCUUGGAGCCUUGGGGUCCUCGCUGGUGCCCGGCACCGGCUGCCCAGCCCUGAGGAUUUCCUGCAGGGGAGGCAAUGGCCAUUCUAGAAGACCCAGGUUACUGCCACCUUCAGCCUCCGCGGGUCCUGUCUUGCCUUUGGAUGUCACAGUGGGCUGUGAUCAAAUUGUUGCUGGUCCCAGGCUGAACCUCAGAAACCCUGGUCGGUGUGGUGGAGGGGGGGACAGGCUUCCGUCCCCAGCUGCAGCCCUGGGUCCCAGCUGCGGUCCAGGCGCUGGGCUCUGGUUGGCUCCUCUCUGCUUGGGAGCUGAGUGUCCCCAAGCAGAUGUGGUCAGGAGAGCUGACCCUGUGCUGGUUUUGGGGCUCUGCAUUCUGACAUGGUCACCUCCGUGUUCUCAUUUGCAAAAUGGGCCAUUCUGGCCCCAUGUGCCCACACGGGACAACUUUUAAAUAUUGCCUCAAUUGACCUGCUGGCCAUACAACUAAUCAAACUUCUUAUUUCUAUUUUUCUAAUAAUGUUUCUGUCUCAUCUAUGUUUUCAGAAACGCUGACAUACAGUUGUUCACAGUAGUCUCUCGUUAACACUUUUUUGGAAUUGGUUUUUUUGCAGUUUUUAAUUUUGUAAUUUACAUGCAGUAGCAUUCACUCUGUGACGUUCAGUUCUAUGUGUUUUGACGGAUACACACGGCUGCGUCCCCAGCACAGAGUCAGCGCCGUCACCCCCAAACUCCCUCGUGCCGCCGCCCCUUGGCGGUCCGCUAUGCCUGCCACCCCAACCCCUGGCAACCCCUGGCCUGUUUCCCCUCUGUCUGUUCCUGCCGUUUCCAGAACAUCAUGAGCAGAAUUACACAGGCUUGUGAAUCCACUCUUUCCCACAGAAAGCGCAUUUGAGAUUCGUCCGUGGUUUGCGCGUGAAGAGCGCCUUCCUCUUCACACCUGGACAGUGCUCAUCUCAUGGACGGACGCAGCCACUAUCUGUCUGCCAGUUCAAGAGCCCCUGUUUUUCCCAGUUUUGGGUGAUCAUAAACUGAGGUGCUGUGAAGAUUCACGUGCAGACUUCUGCACGAACAUGAGUUCUCAUUUCUCUUGAGGGAACGCCUGCGAGUGGAAUUCCUGAGUCAUCGCGGGGGGAGAAAGGACCCAGCCCGCGCCCACAGCGGCUGCCCCGGCUGCGUCCUGGGCGGCCCGCGGGACUCGAGGCUGCCUCUGGCCCCACAUCUCUGUCAUGCAUGGUGCUGCCACUGCUCGUGUCCACCGUCCUCGCGGGGGAGUCAGGGGAACCACGCCGUGGCUUUAAUUUGCAUUUGCCUGAUGACACAGGUUGGGGAACACCGCCUCGUGUACCACCUUCCCUCCGUAUGCCUUCCUUGGCACCACGUUCAGACUUUGGCCCCUUUUUAAAUUGGGUUGUUUCUGCACCGUUGAGUUCGGAGAGCUCCCCUGCCUUCUGCCUACACGUCCUGUACCUGAUGGGUGUUUGCAAGCAUUUUCUGCCAGUCUGUGGCCUACUAUCUGUUAAAUCUGCAAUCACAGCCUCCUGUUGGGUUGUGUCGUUGACUGGUGUCUUUUCCUUCCGUUCUUGUUGUUUUUAUCACACCUGGAAGCUGGUCCGCUUCAGUGGGAGAUGGAUUUUUGGAAGAACUAACUUUUGUCUUCAUGGCCCUCUAUCACCUGGUCCAAUCUUGUUUUUAUCUCUGGGUUUUUUUUUUUUUUUAGAUUUUAUUUAUUUAUUCAACAGAGAUAGAGACAGCCAGCGAGAGAGGGAACACAAGCAGGGGGAGUGGGAGAGGAAGAAGCAGGCUCCCAGCGGAGGAGCCUGAUGUGGGGCUCGAUCCCAUAACGCCGGGAUCACGCCCUGAGCCGAAGGCAGACGCUUAACCGCUGUGCCACCCAGGCGCCCCUAUCUCUGGUUUUUAACUUUCUUUGGGCUUAGUCUGUUCCCCCCACCUCCAGCUUUCCCUUUUUCUUUGAUUUACAAAAUUGGGGAUAACUUAUGCACGUGGUGUGGUUCUCACUUUUGACAAAGGCAUCCAGGUGGGUAACUGCUGGCACCACAGAUAUAAAAUAUCUCUGUCACCCCCUCAUUGCCUCGAGCCCCUUUGCAGCCACUGCCUCCCACAUGCCAGCCCCCUGGUUUCCUAAGGUGGGGUCCCAGCUUACAAAGCCCGAGGCUUCCUCCUAUUCCAACGUAAGUGUUUGUCCUCAUUCCCUGGAAGCGCUGCUCCGCUGCCCUCCCCUCAAGUCUGGACAUGCACUGUUUUAUGGUCGUUCAGUUCUGGGUAUUUUAAAUUUCCCGUUAGGAUCUCGUCCUUAGCUCAUGAGUUAUUCGACAGUACGAGUAUAUGUCUUAUAGUGCUUGCCUAUACACGUGUCUCUAACACUGGAUUGUAUUUGCAGACACUCCGCGCAGUUAACAGAACUGCCCGGUGAGACCGCACACGCACCCUCACUGCCCCACAGCCCACGGCUUGUGCUACCUCUUCCUCCACACGCCCCUCCAUCCACCUCUUCCACCCACCUGCUGGGGAGGAGAUAUUUUUCUCUACCCUUCAGAGGUUCUUCCAGGUGGUCUAAGCAUAAAAUGGACAUGAGAUAGAUCAACAGAAGGAAAGCAAAUUAAUUUUGUCUGUACAGGAACCACCACCCACAGGAGAGGUUCCAAGACAGAAGGGUAAAAGGAGGUAUUUGUGCCAUCCUGAGCUACAGAUUGGAACAGGGGCCUGGGCUUCAAAGUGGAGGAGGACAGUUCACAGGGCCACGAGAAGGAGAACAGACGUUUGCUAAUUAGAUGCUUGCCCUGCCACGAGAUGGGUCACUCACGUAAACUAUCUCUGAUGAUAACUCUUAUUCUAGCAAAGCUCCCAAUUUAGGUUCUUCUAAGUAUUUAAGGAAGGGACAAAAGUUUCUCCUGAGCCCACAGGGUCUUAAUUGCCUUCAGCUCAAAAUAGCCUUCAUACCAAAAUGACAUAUUUGGGGGACACUUGUCCUGAACCCCUUCACAUCCAUCCAACCAUCUAUUCCUUUGUUCCUCCCUCCAUUUGUCCCUCAUCCAUCCAUCCAACCAUCCAUCCCUCCCUCUAACCAGCCAUCCCCUCUGAAUUCCCCCCUCCAUCUAUCUGCCUAUCAAUCCAUCCAACCACCCACCCAUCCUUCCACCUGCCCAUCUCGCUAUCCAUUCACUCCACCCCCUGCCUUUUCUCCACAAGCCCCACUUUCUUCCCUUGGGGCGCUGACUCCAACCAACAGCACUGCAGCCGGGGCCUAUGCCCUGGUGAGCGGGAAACCAAAGAAGGUCCUGUGGUUGGGUCCUUGGGGCCGCCACAGAUGGCUGCUGCCUGCCAGCCACCCGCCCCCAAGGACUGUAUUGCCUCUUCCUAUGCACAGAUUCCUGAUCAGCAAAGGGACAGCGAUCUCAGACGUUCUGAGGGCUCAGAGGUUGCCUCCUAAGUGCCAGGCAAGGACCAAAUCUUCUUUGGGCUGUGCAGGGUGUGGACGACCCAGGCCUGCUGAGUUAACCCCACACUGCACAGACUCAGGAAUGGGUUCUUGGAUGUGGAGGCCAAGCCCCGUGGGAUGAGGGGAGAGAAGAGCUUGGGAAAGGCAGAGGCCUUGACGACUGGGACGUAGGGUGGGAGUGAGGUGGGCGGGAGAGGGGCAGGUGGGCCGGUCCUGGGCAUUGAAGAGAAUGUGCAUUCUGCUGAAGUGAAGAUUUGGGUUUGGGUCCA